AGAGCCAGCAGUCUGCUGCAAGCAGCCGAGGAGAGACUAUUGCCUGGCUGGAGCUGCUUCUCAGAACAUCUUGGAGGUAUUCAAUGUCUGCUUGGCGUUUUGCAAGUGUCUCCGGAGACCAUUGCCAGUUCAGAAUAUUUUGGGUUCUGCCCCACUGUUAGAACAACUACCCAAAACAGUGUCCUGUAAUCAAUGCCCCAAGGUAUCCCAUUCAGUUAAUCAAACCCCUUCCCAUUUGACUGAAGUGUAACCUCUGGACUGAUCAAAAAGCUUGCAAAAACAAGUCUUACAACUGGAAAACCCAAAACAGGAUCUGAGCAGUUAGGAACUGUAAUAUGGUGGUUUCUCCCUACCUGCUUUGUUCCAACUUUAAUCAACCAGCUAUCAAAGAGGAAUGUUUUGAAGCUAUACAAUUGAAGAAGUAUAAGAAUGAAACAGAGUUGCUGGCAAAACACACUUCCAGAGAGAGACAGAGAGAGAGAGAGAAAUCACUGCAACAUUGUAACCUCAGCCCAGCUGAUCACUCUCCUGGACAGAUUCAAGCCUCGAGAAGGCUGUGGAGAUUGAAACCACUGCCUACUUGUAUUGGUAAGAAACACUACUGCAGCUAAUAGAUACUGGACUUCUGUGAUAGCUCACUUAUUGAAUAUUGGGAAGGAAUCUUUUUCUGUCAUUUAGUUUUAAAGCUUGUUUGUGGUAUAGUUAUUAAAACCUUUCUGUCAUUAAUUGA